rnacentral:rRNA from 1 species
UACGGAGGGUGCAAGCGUUAAUCGGAAUUACUGGGCGUAAAGCGCACGCAGGUGGCUGAGUCAGUCGAUUGUGAAAGCCCUGGGCUUAACCUGGGAAUUGCAGUCGAUACUACUCAGCUAGAGUAUGGGAGAGGGUAGUGGAAUUCCCGGUGUAGCGGUGAAAUGCGUAGAUAUCUGGAGGAACACCGGUGGCGAAGGCGGCAUCCUGGACCAAUAUUGACGCUGAGGAGCGAAAGCCAGGGGAGCAAAGCGAGA